rnacentral:rRNA from 1 species
GAUGAACGCUGGCGGCGCGCCUAACACAUGCAAGUCGAACGGCACCUAUCUUCGGAUAGAAGCGAGUGGCGAACGGCUGAGUAACACGUGGAGAACCUGCCCCCUCCCCCGGGAUAGCCGCCCGAAAGGACGGGUAAUACCGGAUACCCCCGGGCGCCGCAUGGCGCCCGGGCCAAAGCCCCGACGGGAGGGGAUGGCUCCGCGGCCCAUCAGGUAGACGGCGGGGUGACGGCCCACCGUGCCGACAACGGGUAGCCGGGUUGAGAGACCGACCGGCCAGAUUGGGACUGAGACACGGCCCAGACUCCUACGGGAGGCAGCAGUGGGGAAUCUUGCGCAAUGGGGGGAACCCUGACGCAGCGACGCCGCGUGCGGGACGGAGGCCUUCGGGUCGUAAACCGCUUUCAGCAGGGAAGAGUCAAGACUGUACCUGCAGAAGAAGCCCCGGCUAACUACGUGCCAGCAGCCGCGGUAAUACGUAGGGGGCGAGCGUUAUCCGGAUUCAUUGGGCGUAAAGCGCGCGUAGGCGGCCCGGCAGGCCGGGGGUCGAAGCGGGGGGCUCAACCCCCCGAAGCCCCCGGAACCUCCGCGGCUUGGGUCCGGUAGGGGAGGGUGGAACACCCGGUGUAGCGGUGAAUGCGCAGAUAUCGGGUGGAACACCGGUGGCGAAGGCGGCCCUCUGGGCCGAGACCGACGCUGAGGCGCGAAAGCUGGGGGAGCGAACAGGAUUAGAUACCCUGGUAGUCCCAGCCGUAAACGAUGGACGCUAGGGUGGGGGGGACGAUCCCCCCCGUGCGGCAGCCAACGCAUUAAGCGUCCCGCCUGGGGGAGUACGGCCGCAAGGCUAAAACUCAAAGGAAUUGACGGGGGCCCGCACAAGCAGCGGAGCAUGUGGCUUAAUUCGAAGCAACGCGAAGAACCUUACCAGGGCUUGACAUAUGGGUGAAGCGGGGGAGACCCCGUGGCCGAGAGGAGCCCAUACAGGUGGUGCAUGGCUGUCGUCAGCUCGUGUCGUGAGAUGUUGGGUUAAGUCCCGCAACGAGCGCAACCCCCGCCGCGUGUUGCCAUCGGGUGAUGCCGGGAACCCACGCGGGACCGCCGCCGUCAAGGCGGAGGAGGGCGGGGACGACGUCAAGUCAUCAUGCCCCUUAUGCCCUGGGCUGCACACGUGCUACAAUGGCCGGUACAGAGGGAUGCCACCCCGCGAGGGGGAGCGGAUCCCGGAAAGCCGGCCCCAGUUCGGAUUGGGGGCUGCAACCCGCCCCCAUGAAGUCAGAGUUGCUAGUAAUCGCGGAUCAGCAUGCCGCGGUGAAUGCGUUCCCGGGCCUUGUACUCGGCGCCCGUC